AUGUUAGCGGCGGACGGGUGAGUAACACGUGGGUAACCUACCUAUAAGACUGGGAUAACUCCGGGAAACCGGGGCUAAUACCGGAUAAUAUUUUGAACCGCAUGGUUCAAUAGUGAAAGACGGUUUCGGCUGUCACUUAUAGAUGGACCCGCGCCGUAUUAGCUAGUUGGUAAGGUAACGGCUUACCAAGGCGACGAUACGUAGCCGACCUGAGAGGGUGAUCGGCCACACUGGAACUGAGACACGGUCCAGACUCCUACGGGAGGCAGCAGCG
rnacentral:rRNA from 1 species